rnacentral:rRNA from 1 species
UACGGAGGAUGCGAGCGUUAUCCGGAUUUAUUGGGUUUAAAGGGUGCGUAGGCGGUCCGUUAAGUCAGCGGUAAAAUUGCGGGGCUCAACCCCGUCGAGCCGUUGAAACUGGCAGUCUUGAGUACAGUAGAGGUGGGCGGAAUUCGUGGUGUAGCGGUGAAAUGCUUAGAUAUCACGAAGAACUCCGAUUGCGAAGGCAGCUCACUGGACUGCAACUGACACUGAGGCUCGAAAGUGUGGGUAUCAAACAGG